rnacentral:rRNA from 1 species
CAGCCGCCGCGGGAAUACGUAGGGUGCGAGCGUUAAUCGGAAUUACUGGGCGUAAAGCGUGCGCAGGCGGUUUUGUAAGACAGGCGUGAAAUCCCCGGGCUCAACCUGGGAAUGGCGCUUGUGACUGCAAAGCUAGAGUGCGGCAGAGGGGGAUGGAAUUCCGCGUGUAGCAGUGAAAUGCGUAGAUAUGCGGAGGAACACCGAUGGCGAAGGCAAUCCCCUGGGCCUGCACUGACGCUCAUGCACGAAAGCGUGGGGAGCAAACAGGAUUAGAUACCCCAGUAGUCCCUGUCUCUUAUAC